GGGCACUCUAGCGAGACUGCCGGUAAUAAACCGGGGGAAGGUGGGGAUGACGUCAAAUCAUCAUGCCCCUUAUGACCUGGGCUACACACGUGCUACAAUGGUUGGUACAACGAGUUGCGAGUCGGUGACGGCGAGCUAAUCUCUUAAAGCCAAUCUCAGUUCGGAUUGUAGGCUGCAACUCGCCUACAUGAAGUCGGAAUCGCUAGUAAUCGCGGAUCAGCAUGCCGCGGUGAAUACGUUCCCGGGCCUU
rnacentral:rRNA from 1 species